CAAUUUCUCACGAUCCCUUCGGGGUGACGAGUUAUUGACUGAGUGGCGGACGGGUGAGUAACGCGUGGGUAACCUACCUUGUACAGGGGGACAACAGUUGGAAACGACUGCUAAUACCGCAUAANCGCACAGCAUCGCAUGAUGCAGUGUGAAAAGUUUUUUCGGUACAAGAUGGACCCGCGUCUGAUUAGCUAGUUGGUGAGGUAACGGCCCACCAAGGCGACGAUCAGUAGCCGACCUGAGAGGGUGACCGGCCACAUUGGGACUGAGACACGGCCCAAACUCCUACGGGAGGCAGCAGUGGGGAAUAUUGCACAAUGGGCGCAAGCCUGAUGCAGCGACGCCGCGUGAGCGAAGAAGUAUUUCGGUAUGUAAAGCUCUAUCAGCAGGGAAGAUAAUGACGGUACCUGACUAAGAAGCACCGGCUAAAUACGUGCCAGCAGCCGCGGUAAUACGUAUGGUGCAAGCGUUAUCCGGAUUUACUGGGUGUAAAGGGAGCGUAGGCGGUUUUACAAGUCUGAUGUGAAAGCCCGGGGCUCAACUCCGGUAUUGCAUUGGAAACUGUAGAACUAGAGUGUCGGAGGGGUAAGUGGAAUUCCUAGUGUAGCGGUGAAAUGC
rnacentral:rRNA from 1 species